rnacentral:misc_RNA from 1 species
CCAAUAGCGUAUAUUAAAGUUGUUGCAGUUAAAAAGCUCGUAGUUGAAUUUCGGGAUUGGCGCAUCGGUCGUGCCUCACGGGGUAUGAACUGGUGCAGUCAAUUUCUCACCUUCUGGAGAACCGCGAUGUCCUUAAUUGGAUGCCGCGGGGAACCAGGACCUUUACUUUGAAAAAAUUAGAGUGUUUAAAGCAGGCAUUUUUGCUUGAAUACAUUAGCAUGGAAUAAUAAAAUAGGACGGCAUGGUUCUAUUUUGUUGGUUUCUAGGACCACCGUAAUGAUUAAUAGGGAUAGUUGGGGGCAUUAGUAUUCAAUUGUCAGAGGUGAAAUUCUUGGAUUUAUUGAAGACUAACUACUGCGAAAGCAUUUGCCAAGGAUGUUUUCAUUAAUCAAGAACGAAAGUUAGGGGAUCGAAGACGAUCAGAUACCGUCGUAGUCUUAACCAUAAACUAUGCCGACUAGGAAUCAGCCUGAGUUACCUACAGAAUUGACUCGGCUGGCAGCUUCCG